rfam:Triticum aestivum genome assembly, contig: Triticum_aestivum_CS42_TGACv1_scaffold_271700_3DS
UUUAUAUUCCCUCUGUCCUAAAUUUUUUGUCUUAGAUUCGUCUAGAUACGGAUGUAUCAAAUCGACUUGAUACAUCUGUAUUUAGACAAAUUUAAGACAAGAAUUUUGACACGGAAGGAGUAUAAU